GUGCCCUUGAGGUGUGGCUUCCGGAGCUAACGCGUUAAGUCGACCGCCUGGGGAGUACGGCCGCAAGGUUAAAACUCAAAUGAAUUGACGGGGGCCCGCACAAGCGGUGGAGCAUGUGGUUUAAUUCGAUGCAACGCGAAGAACCUUACCUGGUCUUGACAUCCACGGAAGUUUUCAGAGAUGAGAAUGUGCCUUCGGGAACCGUGAGACAGGUGCUGCAUGGCUGUCGUCAGCUCGUGUUGUGAAAUGUUGGGUUAAGUCCCGCAACGAGCGCAACCCUUAUCCUUUGUUGCCAGCGGUCCGGCCGGGAACUCAAAGGAGACUGCCAGUGAUAAACUGGAGGAAGGUGGGGAUGACGUCAAGUCAUCAUGGCCCUUACGACCAGGGCUACACACGUGCUACAAUGGCGCAUACAAAGAGAAGCGACCUCGCGAGAGCAAGCGGACCUCAUAAAGUGCGUCGUAGUCCGGAUUGGAGUCUGCAACUCGACUCCAUGAAGUCGGAAUCGCUAGUAAUCGUGGAUCAGAAUGCCACGGUGAAUACGUUCCCGGGCCUUGUACACACCGCCCGUCACACCAUGGGAGUGGGUUGCAAAAGAAGUAGGUAGCUUAACCUUCGGGAGGGCGCUUACCACUUUGUGAUUCAUGACUGGGGUGAAGUCGUAACAAGGUAACCGUAGGGGAACCUGCGGUUGGAUCACCUCCUUACCUUAAAGAAGC
rnacentral:rRNA from 1 species